AGGUAGAAUCAUUGUCUAUUCAAGGUGAUACUGAAUCAAUUAAAGAAGUUGAAGAAGAACCACUUUAUGAAGAGUUGACCGUAUUGAGCUCUCAUUUUAAUGAGAUACUGAAAGAAAACAAAAAAUUGUCAAACAAAUUAUCAAAAAUGAAGGUUGAGUAUUUGAGAUCACUUUCUAGUAAUACUGGUUCAGCUGCUAGCAAAGUGAGAAGAGGA